rnacentral:lncRNA from 1 species
GUCAUGAGCAUAAGUUGAUCCCCAAACAAGGGGGUCUUUAGGAGGGGGUCACGUGCCUCCAAAAGUCCGAAGUUUCAUUGAGUCCCAGAAUUUUUAACUGUACAUCUUCACACACAAGGGACAUCAAUAAGCAGCUGGAGGUGGCAGUGCUAGUUCCUGUGUGCUAACUGGUUCACAUUUUUACCUUGCACGAAGAUGUUUAAAGUUGUUUGGAACUGUGAUCCUAUAGCACAGAUUCUGUUUCUCGACCUUUGAAAAUAUUUGCCUACGUUCACUUUUAGCACUAACAUGACACUGGUAGACAGGUAUGAAUGGUGGAAGGUGUCCUAAAAGCCUAGUGAGGAGUUCCCUUCAUGGCUCAGCUGUUAAUGAAACCAACUAGGAUCCAUGAGGUUGUGGGUGUGAUCCCUGGUCUUGCUCAGUGGGUUAAGGAUCCAGCGUUGCCAUGUGCUAUGGUGUAGGUUGCAGACGUGGCUCAGAUCUGGUGAGAGCUGUGGCAUAGGCUGGUGGCUACAGCUCCUAUCCAGCCCCUAGCCUGGGAGCCUCCAUAUGCCUCGGGUGUGGCCCUAAACAAAAAAAAGCAAUAAAUAAAUAAAUAAAUAGAAAAGCCUGGCGAUUCCAGCCUCUCAGGUCCAAUGGCAUUUCCUGAGUCUCAGAAUGUGAUCCCUCAGCUACGUGAUCUGACCCACGUCUGAAUGACUUCUUUACCUGCCCCGACCAGGGUCACCCAGCCUGCGGGAACGUCCCUUUUAUGGGCAUUGCCAUCUACGGGGUGAUAAUAAUGGAGGCAGUAAUGUUUUGCUUAUUUCCUCCCCGUGUUUUUAUUACAUAUAUGCAGCAUGGGGAAUAUAUAUGUAUAGCUCUAUUAUCUUCAUCUUUUUUUGUACAGCUGCACCCUGGGCAUCUGGCAGUUCCCAGGCUAGGGGCCGAAUCAGAGCUAGAGCUGCUGGCCUACACCACAGCCAUGGCAAUGCCAGAGCUGAGCUGCAUCUGUGACCUAUGCCUUGGCUUGUGGCAAUGCCGUUUCCUUAACCCCCGAGUGACGCCAGACAUCGAACCUGCAUCCUCGAAGAAAAGUCCGGUCUUAACCUGCUGAGCCACAACAGGAACUCCCAUUAUCUUUUUUGUCACACAAUUUUGCACCGUAGGUAUGUCCACUUCUCGAGAAGAGGCUUUAUAAGCCUCGCGGUGGUGUAUUCCAAUGGCGUAUUUAUGUACAUGCCUCUCGUUUGCCGUGAGCAAUGUUGUCAGUUUUGCUACUGUAAGUACUAUCGUUAUCAUGUUAUCGUGGCCCAUCUCCAUUGGCUUAAGGCAGGUUCUGGAAAAUGGGAUCAAUUUUAGUGUUUUAGUGCAAAUUCACUACAUACUUCUAGGAAGACAAUACCAAAUUAUAGACCUAAUGUGCUUCUUUUGCUUAAAAGAUAUCGUCAUCAUUACUAUCAAUUAUUUUAAACCUUUUGUUAACUAGAAUUAUUGUGGAAAUAAUUUCUUAGUACAUACAAAUAUUGAAUCAUUAUGCUGUACACUGAAACAAAUAUAACAUUGUAUGUUAAUUAUGCCUCAAUAAAUUUUCUUUAAGACAAAAAAAUUUCAUAGGAACUAAAUGACGGUCCAUUGUUGAAGGCAUGUGUCUCUACUUACAAGUGAGAGUAAUCAUUUUUCACCAUCCAUUUGAAACUUUUCUGUGAUUCGGUUAUUGAUGCUCAUCGUUCCUUUCUUUUCAAGUUAAAACAGGAUGGCCCGUAUUUCCCUUGAUCUGUCUCAGUUGCUCUCAAGCUUGGCCGUGCAUUAGAGUCAUCAGUGUCCUUUUAAUAAUUGUGCUGAUGCCAGACUCCUCCCAGUGACACAGGUUUAACUGGCCUGUGUUGAGCACUUAGCACCGGCAUUGUUUAAACUUCCCAAGCGAGUCUUCCCAGGAGAUGCCAUAGCUGAAGACAACUGAUCUGGAAUCUCCAGAUAUUAACCUUCUCUCUUGUUAUAUUUUUCUGUUUAAUUUCUUUUACAGAUGUUUUCUUUAAACAAAAAAAUAAAUAAAUUCCAGCCAUGGGUUCCAUAGAGCUUAAGAUGUGUCCUCAGAAGCAAGACAAGCUGGGCUUAAAUCUUGCCUCUGUCCUUUAUAAGCUACAUCAUUUUGAACAAAUGAUGUUCUCUCUCAUUGCUUCAAUUUUCAGUGCAGUAAUGUAGUAUUAAUUUAUAGUAUAUCUCACACUUUUAUUAGAAGGAUUAAAUCAGUUGGUACUUGUAAGGCAUAUACAACAGUAUCUAAUACAUUGUGAACAUUAAGAAAGUAUAAACAACUUUUUCUUCUAUUAUUUCUUGCAUUGGUUUUAUUCUAGUGAAGUCUUUUUCGACCAUGAGAGCAGGUGGAUAUUGAUGUAUGUUGCGUCCUAAUUUUUUUCAGUUUUAUUUCUUUCUGUUUCUGAUGGCCUGUUAAGUUUCUAGUUCUCUGAGUCCUGGGAUGAAGUUGGUGUAGAAGGAAGAAAUAAAUCGACCAGGGCCCAAGGGGCUGGUGUACCAUUUCCCCAAAUCCCCGAUUUAGAUAAACCACUUGUUUCUGAUUUAAGGAUACCAGUAAGUUUGUUUUCUGAUAGUACCUUGACUUACAGAAUCAUGUAAAACGGCUGUAACGUGUACUCUGCUGUGUUUUAGAACCACAUCCUCCGUUUGGACCUCGUCGACCCGUGCUUGCCCGCACGCUUCUCUAGAUCUCAAAGUCAGACCAAGGGGCUGCACAUUGCUUCCCAAAUAACCUAGUGACAACAGGUUCCAUAGGCUUCUGCAAAAAUCAAAAGGAAGUCAUAACAUCACAGGCACAUGAAUGUAUGCAAAAUGACCUCGAGCCACUACUGCAGAGUAUUUUACUUCCACAGUAUCCGGAAAAGGUGAUUAAUGAUACAGAGGUUCAAAAUUUGAUUAUGGGCUUCUGCAAUGAGCCAUAAUAACAUCAUGAGAAAGCAUCUUGGCAGCUUUUGCCCCCUCUCAUCACCACCUCCUGUGCAUACAUUCCUUCAGUUCUCCCUAUGUUGGACGUCAGCCUCCUUGUUUGAGUUCAUAAAUUAAAGUGCACAAGGACUUAAACGGAAGGAGUCGAGGAGCAGCAAAAACAGCAGUAGCGUUCUUAGGGUUUCACUUUGGGGAAAAGUAUAAGCAUCUUCUUUGUCUUUGAUCAGUUUCCCAUCAGCUCUCUAGGAGCGGUGGGUCCUGCUGCGCUCACUCCAGGAGCGAUAGCAUCAGCAAACACAGGAGGGAGGCGGGGAUGUGCUCAGCCGUGACGACACCAGGACACUGGGAAUUUCCCGUGGUGUGUCUGAGCCCCCUCUGCUCUGCGGUCCCUGCUUUUACUGCCCAGGAUGUUACAGCACUGAUAGAGACCGCCCAAUGUACGGCUGUCUCGGAAGUACUCCGAGACUUGAUCAGGUUAGCAAGCCUUGACUAUCUAUCUAUCUAUCUAUCUAUCUAUCUAUCUAUCUAUCUAUCUAUCUAUCUAUCUAUCUAUCUUUCUUUCUUUCUCUCUCUAUCUUGCUCUCUCUAUCUGUAUCUAGCUAUCUAGAUAUAUAUGCUAUAAACUCAAAGAAAAUACUAAACACUUUAACUUUUAUGACUAUCAUGUUCUUAGAUAUGAGAUUUGUUUUUAUUUUCUUAUUUUAUUUUAUUUUUUGUCUUUUUGCCUUUUCUAGGGCUGCUCCUGCGGCAUGUGGAGGUUCUCAGGCUAGGGGUCUAAUCGGAGCUGUAGCUGCCAGCCUACACCAGAGCCACAGCAACGCAGGAUCCGAGCCGCAUCUGCAACCUACACCACAGCUCACAGCAACACCGGAUCCUUAACCCACUGAGCAAGGCCAGGGACCGAACCCGAAACCUCAUGGUUCCUAGUCAGAUUUGUUAACCACCGAACCACAACAGGAACUCCCUAUUUUCUUAAUUUUUAUGGCCCCACCCAUGGCACAGGAAAGUUCCUGGGACAUGGAUUGAAUCCAAGCCAUAGCUGCAAACUUCAUCACAGCUGCAGAUUUAACCCACUGCUUCAGGCCAGGGAUUGAACCCUCACCUCCACAGCAACCUGAGCCGCUGCCAUCAGAUUCUUAACCCACUGCACCAGAGUGGGAACUCCAGAUAUGGGAUUUUAAAAAUCAUCUGUGUUCAGAUUUGCAAGGGUGCUGAGAGAUUUAGCUCUAGAAUUUAAGCCUACUGCUGAAUUAAAAGCCUGGCACAGAGAAAUGUUCACUGAAUGAAUGAAAAGCCAUUUGCUCU